ACCAUUGCCAUUGCUGGUGCAGCCAACUCUUGGGGCAUUAAUGGAGACUGGAUACAGAUGUCUGAACCAUUAUCUUGUCCAUCCUGAAGUAUGCUAAACACCACAGUGGUUCAAAUGCCUGGAGACAUGAUGCAGCGUCUAUACCCGUGCUCCUCAACUUUGCUCCGGAGGAGUCAAAUAUUAAAAGCAUGGGCCAACAUACAAGCAGAGGUUUUGAUGAGGCAGUGAAGAUUUGCAGAAUCAAGACCUAAGACGGGAGCCCUUUUUGAAAGAGACAUUAACUUCAUUCAGUGAAGAUACUGAAACAAAAACAGAAAUUCCACCCUGGACACGAGAAGCCUUCCAGAAAAAGUUUAACCAGAACUGUCCCUUUUG